UAUAUUCAAUUCAGUUGAAUGACUUAUGAACAAGUGUAGGAUGCACUUAUAAAGUAGAGAACAAUGACAUUCUCUUGACUCUAAAGUAGAGAACUAUAACAUACUUACGACCAUGUUGAUAGUGCCAUAAUAGUGGAAAGAUUAUAAUGCCAUGUGAUUUAGCAUUACUCUUACAUGUUUACAAUCUAGUGGAUACUAGUUCUUGUUACUCUUUGUGUAUUGAAAUUCCGAUCAGAGAAUCGAGGGUAAGAACAUUGCAAAUGAAAACAUGAUAAUUGAGACAUGUGGACAGUGGAAUAUGCUUGCUUGCCAUCGUGCUCAUUCGCACACGCUUGUGAGGGUAGCUCCCUACAAGCCGGCACUCCGGAGUUGGCCUACGCGACAGUUGCUCGCCCGUGCGGGAUUGGGUGCCGAAGUGGAUUGCCGUGGGGAGUGUAUACUACCACGGGGCCAUUAGGCGCGGCACAAGCUGGACUACCUUGAGUAGAUCCCUGUGAAUGAAAGGAAAGUGCUAAAGAAAGUUGGACAGUAAUGAAUGAUUAUCAGUUACAGUUUACAGUAGUACUUACACAUUUAUGCUUAUGUUCAUGCUUAUAGUAGUUGCUAUGCUUCUAUUAUUCAGUUAAUUCGUUACUGUUGAGACUAUGAUUACAUGUUGCUUACAUGCUCAUUACCUGUUAGCAUUGCAUAAUUAUAUAUCAUGCAAUUACCGCUUUCGCUUUCAUUUAGUACAUCAUGAGCCUAGUGGUGUAAUUCGCCGAGGCUGGCGGCUUACCCACUGGGAACUAUUGUUUAUAGUUCUCACGCCCUUUUGGUGGUUGUUUUACAGAGCCAGCUACAGGAGAGGCUAGGUAUCGUGGCAAGGGAGUCGCGUCUAGCUAGACAUUGCUAGGAGCAUGCUAGUCGAUCACCUUGCUACUCGGACUACGGCCGAGGGUGAUGUCCCUAUGUAUAGAGAGACCACCAUUGUAUCUAUUCUUUUGUAUACCUCGUGAUGUAUAAGUACUUUGUGGACAGUCACUAUGGGUUUGAUACUUUCUCUUUUAGUCGAGAUUUUGGAUUGUACACCUUUUGUUCUUUUGCCGAUAGUAUAUCGACUUGUACUUUGCUUUGAUAUCAGGAUAGGAUUUUACUAUGCUUCUUUCUAUCGACUUACUUCUUGUAGACGCCUUAUAUACUGCAUGUGUAUGGCGGGUCUGUGCACGUACCGGAUAUGCUUCCGCUGAUACCCGUGCGUGACAGAUUAUAGUGGUAUCAGAGCCUAGGGUUGAGUCUUAGUAGACCUAGCAAACCUUAGGCUGGUUGGACUAUAAGAAUAGGCUCGUGAGAGACGAGGUCUAGUCGAGGUUGUUGUUAGCGAAAGUACUUGGAUUUGUUUCAUGGACUUGGAUAUGGUCCAUUGGAUUUGGUGUAUGGGAUUCGGGAUUCGGUUCAGAGGAUGUGGUGUAUGGUUCAUGAGGUUUAGUUUAUUAUUUGCGGUGUUUGGUUCACGAACUUAGUUCAUGGUUUAUAGGGUUUGAUUCAUGAACUUGGGUAUGGUUCGUGGUGUUUGGUUCACGAACUUGGUUCAUGUUUUAUGGGUUUGGUUUAUGAAGUUGGGUAUGGUUCGUGGUUCUUGGUUCACUAACUUGGUUAAUAGUUCACGAGAUUUGGUUUAUCAAGCUUGGUGUAUGAGACUUGGUUUAUGACUUUGGAUAUGGUUCAUAGAUUUGGUUUAUGAACUUGGUUCAUGGUUUAUGAGAUUUGGUUCAUGAACUUGGGUAUGGUUCAUGGGACAUAGCUCAUGAAUUUGGUGUAUGGUUUAUGGAUAUGGUUUAUAGUUCAUGAAUUUGGUUCAUGAGGUUUGGUUUAUGGUUCAUAAGACUUGGUUCAUUAUUCAUAGGAUUUGGUUCAUGGUUCAUGAGAUUUGAGUCAUAAACUUGAUGUAUGGUUCAUGAGAUUUGGGUAUUGGAUUUGUUUCAUGAACUUGGAUAUGGUCCAUUGGAUUUGGUGUAUGGGAUUCAGUUCAUAGGAUGUGGUGUAUGGUUCAUGAGGUUUGGUUUAUUGUUCGUGGUGUUUGGUUCACGAGCUUGGUUCAUGGUUUAUAUGAUUUAGUUUAUGAACUUGGGUAUGGUUCGUGAUGUUUGGUUCACGAACUUGGUUCAUGGUUUAUAGGAUUUGUUUCAUGGACUUGAAUAUGGUUCGUGGUGUUUGGUUCACCAACUUGGGUAAGUUUCAUGAACUUGGUUCAUGGUUUAUGGGAUUUGGUUUAUAGACUUGGUUCAUGGUUUAUGGGAUUUGGUUCAUAAAUUUGGGUAUGGUUUAUGAAAUUUGAACCAUGAACUUGUUUCACGUUUCAUGAAAUUUGGUUUAUGAAUUUGGUUCAUGGUUCAUGAGAUUUUGUUCAUGAACUUUCAUGAGAUUUGGUUCAAGAGUCCAAGUUGGAAGUUGGCUUUGGGUUCUAUUUGUGGUCCGGAUUGGAUUUGAGUUUGGGUUUAGGUGUUUUUAUUUGUGUACUGGUUUUGGUUUUGGGUUUGGAUUUAGGUUUCGGGUUUUGGAUUUGGGUUUUUAUUUGUUGACUGGAUUGGAUUAUGGUUUGGAUUUGGAUUUGAGUUUUUGGUUUUGAUUGGAUUUUUAUGUGGAGUUGGUUUUGAUUUCGGUUUCGAUUUCGGUUUUAUUUGUGGACUUGAUUUUCAUUUGGAUUUUGCGUUGUUUAUUUGUGGACUUGAUUUGGAUUUGAGCUUAAUUUGGGUUUUGGUUUUGUUUGUGGACUUGGUUUAGAUUUUGGGUUCAGGUUUCUACUUUAUUUGUUGACUUAAUUCGGAUUUGGGUUUUAUUUGUUGACUGAGUUUGGAUUUUGGGUUCGGGUUUCGAUUGAAUUUGAUUUGGAUUUGGGUUUGGGUUUUAUUUGUAGACUUGACUUGGGUUUUGGUUUGGGUUUCGUUUUAUUUGUAGACUAAGUUUAGAUUUUGGGUUUGAUUUGAUUUUGGUUUUGUAAUUUAAUUUCAGGUCUGAAGAAACGCUCUUUUGAUUUUGCAAUUCGAUUUGGGGUUCGAAGAAAUCCUCUUUUGAUUUUGUAAUUUGAUUUGGGAUCCGAAGAAAUCUCCUUUCGAAUUUGCAAUUCGAUUUGGGGUCCGAAGAAAUCUCCUUUUGAAUUUGCAAUUUGAUUUGGGGUCCGAAAAAAUCACUUUUUGAAUUUGCAAUUCGAUUUGCGGUCCGAAGAAAUCCCUUUUGAUUUUGCAAUUCGAUUUGGGGUCCGAAGAAAUCCCUUUUUGAUUUUGCAAUUCGAUUUGGGGUCCGAAGAAAUUCCCUUUUGAUUUUGCAAUUCGAUUUGGGGUCCGAAGAAAUUUCCUUUUGAUUUUGUAAUUCGAUUUGGGGUCCGAAGAAAUCGCCGUUUUGAUCUCGAUUUGGGGUCCGAAAAAAUUCCCUUUUGAUUUUGUAAUUUUGAUUUGGGGUCCGAAGAAAUCCCUUUUUUGAUUUUGUAAUUCGAUUUGGGGUCCGAAGAAAUCUCCUUUUGAUUUUGUAAUUCGAUUUGGGGUCCGAAGAAAUCCCUUUUUGAUUUUGUAAUUCAAUUUGGGGUCUGAAAAAAUUUCCGUUUUGAUCUCGAUUUGGGGUCCGAAGAAAUUCCCUUAUUGAUUCUAAUUUGAUUUGAAUCUAAACUGGUUUGAAAGUUUCAUGGAUUGAUUCAAUGUUCUCGAAUGGGAUUGCAGGGUCCGAAGAAACGAAGAAUCUUUGAUUCCCCUUCCCUCU
rnacentral:lncRNA from 1 species